GAUAUCAAAGAUAAACUCAGACUGACGAACAGGAGUUGGGCUGGAGACCCAUGCCUUCCAGGAGACUACCCAUGGGAUGCCUUGACCUGCAAUGAAGCACCAAACCGUCGAAUUAUUACACUGUAUGUAGCCAAAUAGCCAUGUUUAUCACCAUAUGCUUUCCUUGAUUUCCACAUUGGCACUUGCCAAAAAGACAAUGAAAAGAAACUCAAAUUUGCAAAAGGAAAAUAAAAGCAUGAAACUAAAGGGUUUUGUUUGUAGGGAUAUCUCGGGCAGCGGAUUGAAUGGAGAAAUACCGGCUUCUAUAGCCAACCUCAAUGAGCUCACGUCACUGUAAGUACUUCAUAUAGUCACAUAGAUGCACCUCAACAUGCACACAAGUACUAUUCUCUCACUUCUUUCCUUUUCGAAGGAAGCCAGUCUAAGCACCUUCACAAUAGAUCAGCUCACAUUGUUUUUGGGUAGUUUAAACUCAAAACCAUCAAGGUUGAGAGGACAACCAACUUCCAUGGAGAAAUGGGCCUGAAUCCAACAUAAAGCCACAAGAUCAUAAUAUAUUAGAAAGAACAUACAAGCUUUACGGCCUAGAGAAAACAAGCAUCCUCACUCCUCCAUCUAAAGCACUAAAAUUUCACUCCAGUCAAUUGUGGAGAACUGAACUCAAACAUGGGGAAGUUAUAUAUUCGAGCUGGCAAAUAAAAUUUUCAACAUUUUCCCUUUCAUUCCAAUCAAUAUGGAUCUUAAGCUUGAUGGCUCUGUUUUCUAACAGUAAAAACCAAACAGUAUUGCUUCAAUGUUGGACUGAUAACAUAGAUCUGAAACUAGCCCAAGAUGUGAUUCACUCUUGGCUCCACCAAAGCCUUCUUUUACAUGUAUGUGAGUUUAUUUCUGUCUUUACAUGAGCAUCAAUGAAUUUGGAGGUCACCUUUUCCCUAACAAAUGCAUUUUCCAAGUCAAUGUGUUUCAUCUGUUGAUGGAUAACUGAGUUAAAUGCUUGUAUGGCUACAUGGCUCUCACAAACUAUCCUGAAUAAAUAAUUCACAUUGAUGGCUAGAUUCCCCAACAGUAGUUUCAACCAUACCAUUCAUAUGCUGUAUAUACAUACUUUGUUAUGAAAAUACACUUAAUCUAUAGCAUGAGUGUAGCCUUGCCAAGGUCACCUCAACAUAUCUCAACAUGGUCAACAUGCAGCAUAGUGCUCUAACCUGUGAUGCCCUGUUCCAGCGUCCCUUCCCUCAUUGAAAUAACAUUAUCCCAUAUUGAGCCUAUCCUUAGCUAGCCCUACAUAUUAGGUUUGCAAAUUUAUGUUGGAAUAACGUUAUCCCAUAUUCUCUUUGAACCUAUCCUUAGCUAACCCUACACCUCGGGUCUGCAAAUUUAUGUCCAUAUAAUUAGAUGGAAGUAAUUGCAAUCCUGGCUAUUGCGCUUCCAUGAGACCUUUUAUGGAUUCUCUCUAAGUUAAUUCUUGAAGUGAUCGUCAUACCCAAGGACAAGCAGUGGCCCAUACAAGGAGAAAAUUUCUUUUCAUAAUCUUUCCGCCACUUAGUCCCAUGACUAUAUCCAAGUAAAGGAGAGCUCCUUCGCCUAAUUACAUCACAUGAUAUCUAUUACCAAGCAAUUAUGUAAGUUAAUUUAUUGGUCUGAGACUACAUCAUAGAACUUGAGGACCAUUCUCAAGUUCUUGAUAAGGGUAGAAAUGUGUGACAAACGAUCAAUAUAUUAUCUGCCAGAUGGAGUUGAGAGGCAGUAAUGCCAAUCAUAGCUACCAAAGAGCCCUGAAGUGUACCCAAAUUGGCUACACUGACGAUCAAACAAGAAAGGAAAAAGUGGAUUUCCUUACUAAAGAAGCGAGCUGGGAUUCAUAGACCUUAUAAGAUGUCAUGGAUGGAUAACUCUAUCAUCCAUCUCCUUUACGAGUUCCAAACCUCAUACAAGUGAUCAAAGGGUCCAAAACCCGUCAGUUGUAGAAUUUAACCAAGAUUUGACCUCUUAAACAAUCCUUAGCCCUCCAAUAUCUUUCUCUUCUUCACUUAGACACUUUGUUAAUGGGAUACAAAGAAUCCUGGAACCUCCCUUAACCUCAAACCAAUAAUACCAUCCAAGAUCUUUUACACUACCCCCAAAAUUAAUAGGCCAAGUCUAUGCCCCUUCCACCUUAGGUAAUGGGAUGAUGAAACAUUUGGUCAUCACCUUCUUGAUUUGAGAGUUCUUGUAAAAUUCAUAGAAGACCUCCAAGAGACCCCCUUCACUAGUCAUACAAUUCAGAAAAGAAAGCCACCUCAGGGAAUCCUAUCUCUGUGCCCAUCAUAAAAACUCAUGUUGUACGAUCCUCCUCAGGACUUGCCCUUUUCUUCUCUACAUGCAAAAUUGUAUCAGAAUAAAGAUACUAAGAAAUUACAACUUAACAGGGGGAAACCUCCAAGGUUUACAGCUGAAAAAUGAAUAAUGUCAUUAAAAAUAACACAUAGCACCAAAAUCAAUAAAAUGUUUUUAUCAAUCAAUGUGUAACCAAUACAAUAUAUAUAUUACGAAUAUGUUAGGAAUAUCUUCCCUAUUAAACAAAGUACAUGAAGCCAGACAGGAGAUAAAGUAGCUAAGAUGGAGGCAAGUACAAAUACCAUAUUGUGCUUGAAAAAGCUGGGCCAGCCUCAGGGACUGUAGUAAAAAUAAAAAGGAGAGGGAGAAUGUAGCAUAACACGAUAUCAAAGUCUAGGACCACACAAAAUAUUGGAACGAGGGUGUGUGGGAUUAGAAAUUCUAGAAGUAAACUGGGUAAGCCAGGAAAAGGAAAUGGCCGAGCGCCAGUAAUUGAAGGGCCAUAGAGAGUGAAGAGGAGCAAAACACGAACAACAACACCUCCAAUUCUAAAGCAGUUACUGAGUUACAUGACCAUCAAGAGGCAUGAAUCACGGGGCUGGAGUUGGACUGAAAGUUGUUCCUCCUUUGCUAAUGGUUGUUCACUUAAGUUCAUUACCAGUAUAGAUUAUUUAUGCAACAGCUACUUCAACAUUGAUUUUUCCAUCCGUGUUACAAACAGUACUCAGCUAGACUAGGAGAAUAACUCAUUUUUAAUUUACCAUGAAUGCCAUGUAAUAUUGUUUUAUGUUAUUUCUCAUCAACAGAUUUUAGACAUCUUUACCAAGAAAAAACAUUUUACCUUACCGAAAGGGUAUGUAAUCUUCUUGAGCACAAAAAUAUCUAUCCACAGAACCUGUAGGAUGCUUCAUAGAGAACUUCUAUAAAAGUUCACUUAACUUUUUUAUUCCUACAAAAACUAUUUUGACCUUAAUAAGCCUACCCAUGCUAUCGGAGUGUUUGGCCAAAUGGUUGUUCUUUUGUUGGAAUAUAAUAUCACUUCUUUUCCCCAACGUGCUGUCAAAGGACAGGCUCUAGCCGAUUUCUUGGUUGCACGUUCGAUUCUGUAAGGGUUUCCAUUAGAUGAAGAAGUACUAAGUGCAGUAGAAGAGUGUCCCAAUUGGAAAACAUAUUUCAACAGUGCCUCUCAGGCCAAGGGAACCCGUAUCGGUAUCCUUUUUGUUAAUCCCGAGUAAGGACUCCCCCUUUACUCCUUUUCUUUGAAGAGGAAAUGCUCAGGAAAUCAAGCCAAGUAUAAAGCUCUUAUCCUUGGGUUAUGAAUGGCCCGUGCACUCAGGAUUGACAUGCUUUUGAUAUUUGGGGACUCACAAUUAGUAAGCUGCCAAAUUGACGGAAGUUACCAAGGGAAGAAAAAGAAGUUGCUCCACUAUCACCAACAAGCUAUGAGUCUGAUACAUAAUUUGAAGACUCUAUCCCUCACCCUUUACCAUGAAGCCCGAAUAGGCAAGCCGAUGCAUUGGGCAAACUGGGAGCAUCAAUAACUCUCACUUCUUCCAAAAUGCUGCAAGUUUGGGUCCAAGAAAAGAAGAUGCUCGUUCUAUCAGUGGAAGCAUAUCAAUUGCCGGAGCUCACAAUACCAAAUACCCCAUCAAUGAUCAAUCCUAAGAUGCAUCGGCCACCAUUGUACGACAUGUCUCUUGCUCUCAGGCAGAUUCACCUGACUGGAGACAACCUUAUAUAAACUUUAUACAAUAUAGGAUCCCCCCACAUGAGAAAAAUGAAAGAGACUCCAUUUGGAGGAAAGCAACAAGAUUCACCCUUUUGGACAGGGUUCUCUAUCAAAGAAACUUUGACGUUUGAACUAAGAAAAUAAUCUCGACACUAUAUUACCAUCUUAAUUCACAUAUUUAAAAAACUCCAACUAUAUGCCUACGCUAAUCCUCAGCAGUCCAAAGCCAUGCAAUGCAUUAAUUUUUCAAAUAAAGGCAUGGAUUGUUGUAUUAUAAAACGCAAUGGACUCUUUUGAUGUUUUUGUGAAUAGGGAACAUUAUGGCAUUCCACAAAAAGAAGGUUAUUUAACUGAUUUUCAAAGAAAUUCUGGCUAUAUUCAUGAUAUUUGAAACUAUAGUAUUUUACAUAAUCAAACAGGAAAUUAUAUUCUCAAAUGUUUUAUUGCUAUUAUUGAUACAGGAACCUAUCAAACAAUCAGCUGACAGGUCCCAUACCAGAAAGUUUUGCUCAUCUGACCAAACUAAAGUCAUUGUAAGUAUAAAUCCAAUCUUUCAAGAGUGCAAUAAAGGGGAAAUGAAAAGAAAUAUGAUUUUCAUGGACAUGCAUAUGGUUUGUUUAUAGGGAUUUGUCAAAAAACAAUCUAACUGGGCUGGUUCCAAGCACAUUAAUAGAUAAAAACGACAGUGGUGUACUUCUAUUAAGGUUAGCAUUGAUAUACUGACAUUUUUAUUUUACUCUUUGAGAGAAUCACUUAUAACUGACUUCUUGUUCGUUUGUUAACUUAACGUGCGCAGCAUUUUCCAAAAUCCCAGCCUUCUGAGACCCAACUCCUCUGAACCAACUCCAAAGAAGAACAAGAAGAACGUGUUAAUUGUGGUGAUAUCUGUUAGUGCAACAAUCGUCUUGCUCUUUGCCUUUGCAUUUGUUCUGAUAAUGACGACAAGGAAAAUAAAUGGUAAGCUUCAGUUCACUUACCAACAUCUAGUAUAUCUACUAUACUUACGCAUCUAGUAUAUACUCUUUCUUUCAAUUAUGCCACUCCGAAGUCCCAAAUAACCCAAGAACACCAAAACAAUUUUUACACAAAACAAUUUUUACACAAAAUAACCUAUGCUCAAGUUUUACACAAAACAAUAACACGUAUUCCCAAAGCAUGCUUCAAAUUGGUCAAGACACGUAAAUAUGAGCUCUUAAGAUUAACGGAUUCUUCUUUUUUGUUAUUUACUAGUACCUCAAAAGUAUGAGAAAAAUGGAGAAGUUUUCUACUUGGAAAAUAUUUCUUGUGUUUCAUACUAUUUUCAUGUGUACACUAAAAGUUUUUGUACCAUUGUAUGUUUAUGAGCAUUCUGUGUUGGGGAAGAAGCAUUGGUUUUACAAAUAAGUUAUAAUCCAAAAGACAACCCUGUGGAGGUUAUAGGGCUGCAAAAGUUAUUAUUAAAAUAGAUAAGGAUUGUGAUAGAGAAGGAAGGGUUGUUAUUAUGAGGUUGGGAGUACAUUGUUGUUUUGAUUCAACAAUUCACUAGAGAGAAAAUAGAUUUAUCUACUUGCAAUAACCAACUACCAUCUAGGUAGAAAAAUAAACCCUGGGAAACUCGUUUAUUUGCUCAAUACUAAAAGCCCCUAGGCAUUCUAGCAAAAAGGUAACUCCACCUUAACUGAAACCAACCCAUCAAUUAUGAUUUCUCAAGUGUUGACUGUACCCUUAUCUCUUGAAAACAAACCAUGGUUGUCCAUGAGACGAGCCAACCCGAUAAGUCCCACCUUAAAUUCCUAUUUCAUUGGUUGGUAUACUUGCCCUUGCUCUUGAGAAAGGUUCUUGAGACAGCGAUCUCAAGUCCCAGGUUCCCUAGAAACCUGAGAUGCGUGCUGCCAGAUCAUCUAGAUCCGGAGGGUGAGAUAAAGGCAGCUAACAGAGGUGGCACUGAUAUCACUGCUUGAACAUAAGCAAUGGCAUAGCUUAUGUACAAAUAUAAUUAUUUUCGCCUUUUGAUAAGCAACAUUUUUCUUUCAGAGGUGCAUAUUUCAUUCUAUUGGUUAUAGUAAUGUAUAACAAAUCUUAUGCUCAUCUUUACAUCGUUCAAAAGUGAAAUCAGAGCAUAGCAUCCUCAUCGAUCGUGUAUGGUUUGGGAUUCAACAAGAACACAUCUUUGGGGAAGUAAACAAGAAGUAAUUCAAAUUGAUAUGUCUCUGGAAUACCCAGUUGUCUCCUCCAAAAGAAUCAAGUAACCUUUGAAGAAAAUGUUUCCUUUUGUGGUUCAACAAUUUUCUCCACACUGACUAGACAGUUUCUCAAAAAUAAAAAGAAUGACAAAACAGGCAUCAUAUAUCAUAGUUGGGUCUAUUUCCGAUAGUAAGAAUUUAAGCAGUAAGCCCAGGGCUAAAAUUUCAAAGAAACAAUCCCCAUCUAUGGGGCAACAAACCCACCACAAUUGCUUAUGAAGUCAAAUCAAUGAAAUUUGGUAUAACACACGACAAAAUACAAUUGAUUAUCUUAGAAGAAAUCAGCCAGUAAAAGGAACUAAUUUUUCAAGAUCAAAAGCCAAUGUAUCUGCCCUAACUUCUCAGACCUUUGUUCUUGAUGACCCCAAGACAAGGUUCCAGGUUUUUUUUAGCCUUUGUGACUGCUGCAUCCAUGUCUAUGCACAAACUUAUUUCCUAGUAAAUUAAAGGUACUGUUAUUUCCCAGAUGUAUUAAUUUUUGUCUCCUAUAUUGAAAAUAAUAUUGAUUUGGUAUCUUAAUAACCUGUACUGGGAUCAUUUCUAAAAACCGUGAGAAUUUAGAAACAGCUGAGGAAACAGACUAGGAGUAGAGACUAAAUAGACCAUGACAAAGAAUAUGCCUGAAUAGCUAACGCAGAAUUUCUAAAAUAAUAGAAAAGUCAAGUGGAAAUAUCUAUCUUAUUGAUUUGUCCCACAGAUUGUUUUGCUCUUCACUAAUUGCACCAGGAACAAGAAUGAGAAAAAGAAAAACUUCAUCAAAUUCAGAUGGUGCUCAAACAUUUACACACUCUGAGAUUGUUAAAAUAACCAAUGACUAUGAAAAGAUCAUUGGUAAGGGAGGAUAUGGGCCUGUCUUCUAUGGGCGCCUGGAUGAUGGCCGUGAAGUUGCUGUCAAGAUUUUGUCCAAAGAAUCACAUCAAGGAGCCAAAGAAUUCUCUAAUGAGGUUUGUAUGAGAAAAGAAACUAAAUCUAGUUUUACAUUCACAUAUUCUUACUUGUAAUCAGGAUAAAUAUUUGGACUUUGGGAUAAUGCUUUGAUGAUGAUGACGAAGAAAAAGGAUAAAUAUUUGGACUUUGGAAAUACAGGUCAAACUGUUGAUGAGAGUUCAUCACAAGUAUUUGGCCUCCUUGAUAGGAUUCUCUGAGGAAGGCAAAGAGAAGAUUCUUGUCUAUGAAUAUAUGUCUAAAGGAAAUCUGAAUUCGAUCCUGUCAGGUAUGACCUUUGAAUUGCUUUCUUUCACUUGUAUCCUAUUGUAAGUUCUGUCUUUUUUUCUGUUUUUUUCUUAAAGCUUUAUAGGACUACUAGCAGUGAUCCCCUUUUACAACUCCAUUAUUCUACAGGACAAGUGUAUUAUUAGGAGAUACUGUCAUUUUCAUUUUUAUUCUUGUUAUGUAUGCUGUAAAUAGAACCACUAAGGCAAACAUUAAAUCAUAACAAAGAUAACUCUAUCCAUGAGUAGCAAUACAGCUUGUGCAGAAAGUCACAAUGCUCAUAAAGCAUUGAUUUGUUGACAUGAAUUAGAGUGUGUUGGAUAUUUUAAUUAAAAUACAACAUACAAAUAGAAGAAUUACAAUAAUACUAAUUAGAAUUAUUAACAAUGUCAACCACAAGAAAAGAACAUAACAAUAAAGAGUGACAAGGUACGUAUCCCCAACAUAACAAUAUCUAACUAUGAUGCACCUAAAGCAAUCUAAUGAAUUCCUAAUUAGCCAUGUUUACCUACCACCCAAAAAAAAAGAAAGAAAAAAUAUCCAUUCUAGUGAGAUCACUACUGCUCUCAAUGGAUAGUUCUCUUGUGAGAUCAUCAGCCAAUUGGCCCUUAGGCUUUAUCUAUGGGAGACACCCCUGGAUUGCUUACUGAAGGUUAAGGGUUUGACCCUUGAAGUCAGGCCCAGAAUAACAAACGAAGCUAACCUACACAUUGUUUUUUGAAACUCAGUAUGUACUAAAGCUUACUAAGGUCCUUUGUAUAGCAUCAUAAUAUAUUUCGACUUAGCUACUAUCUAUGUGCAUGUUUACAUAUAUAUGGCACAUUGUUCCCUGAUUUGAUCAAUGAGAUAUACAUCUAUACUUUUUACCCAAUCAUUGUGCCUGAAUGCUCUUUUCCUCUUUUCAUUAUUUUCCUCUUUUCUUUCUUAAAUUUAACAUGUUAUCAGAGCAGACCUAGAAAUCCUAUGAUGUCAAUUUUUUUUGCAACCCUAGAAUCAAGAUUUUCCUUUCUUCUUGGGAUUUAAAUUGAGAUAUAUCAGCAAGCCCAUAUUUUUCAAGUAAUAUCAUUUCAUUAUUUUACUGGGUAAGUUCAUCCCAGAUUCUUUGUCUUUCAUGCAAAACAGGAAGAAAAGGAAACCCCAGACCUCAUUCUCUCAAAAUUUUUUUACCCCAUUCCAGAAAACCAAUUAUAUUCCAUAUCCUUCUUGUCCAAAAGAACCAAAAAAAAAGGAAAAUUUUUAGAGCUUUGAAAACUAGUAAAGCAAUACAUCAAGAAAAGAUAGAGUUGAGUUAGUAGAGAGAGAGAGAGAGAGAGAGAGGAAAAAAAAGUUAGAAAUCAAGCACAAUAUUUCCCUUGGAAGCAGUCAACUUGAGCACCCAAGAUUGAUGAUCACUAUAAUUAGAUGGGACAAACUACUUAGAAUGGUCUCAAUCUGCCAUAAUGUUCAUAGGAAGAUGGAGAAAAUUGGUUACAUCACAAGGAAGGUGAAGAACCACCAUCCAUGACGAAUGGGAAAGUGAGUAUCUGAAUUUGACUGUGAUGGCAUGACUUCUUUAUUCCAUUCCGCCAAGCAUCAAUAAGGGAUUGUUUCGCCUCAAUCAUGGCCUAAUGAAUGUACCCAUGGCGGGCUUUGCAUCUCUAUGCACUAAUCGAAGCACUUUCACCAAAGGGUGAGAGAUUUGCAAGCAAUAGUAGCAUUGGGUCCAAAAGGAAGUAUUAAAAACAAUGUUCUCUGCUUUUCUCCCAACUUGAUGCCUUCACCACCAAUUUCCAGUCUACUUCUCUAAAGUGAACAUGCUCCUUAGGCCAUCAUUUUGCUUACAUAGGCAUUGAAGAGUGAGAAAUGUAGUGGCAAAUCUAGUGACUCCUGCUCUCACUCUCUCUCUCUUUUGUAAACUCUCUCACUAUAGUAUGUUAUAGAUUAAAUUAAUGAAUAGACUUAGCUUUGGUGAUUGCCCCAUUAACCAUAGAUGUCUUCCCUAUUUCCUCAAGCCCGAGAUCAGCAUAAUGAGAUGCAAGGAGUCCAAAACAUUUGCCUCAUCUUCAAAGUCAAGAGAUGCCUAGUUGCAAAGGAAUUACCAUUGUAGGUGAUAAUAAGUACCACAUUAUCUACAAUUUCAUCCAUCCAUCCACACAAAUAAGUUGCAUCAUGUGAUUUGUAUGAUGCAUAAAUCGAUUUCACAAAAGGAGUACCUAAAGGAGUCCGAGACUUUCCAUUGGACCACCACUACACAUGAUGGUCACCCCAUACUUCUCCCACCCUUCUUCUUGAGAAGUCAAAAUAUAUUUCACAUCCUUUAUGCAUCCUUCAAAAUUGGCUUCAUGAGCUCAUGAAAUGAAGGGGGUUUGGGCCUUGGGCCAAACUGCCCAAUUGCCCCCAACCAUAACCUUGAAGCUAUCAUGGCACUUGCUAUUGAAAGGAAUACCAACUAGAUAAAACCACUUGGCAACGUAUUUCUAAACCUUAUGCCUCCCUUCUUUCUUGUAUCUAUUCUCAAGUGUGGUUUGUUUUGUUUUCUUCCUCAUGUCUUCGACCAUAACUCCGGGGUUAAGGGAACAAAAAGAUUCGAUUGGUCCUAUAGGGAGAGGCUUUAUAUGAAUUUCCACUAAUAUUUAUAACCCUCUCCCUUAUAAUUCUACGCCCACUUCCAACGUUGGAAUGCAUCUUCUACAUCAUCAUCACACAUAUGAAUUUCAACUAAAACUCUUUUUAUUUCAUUUUUUUUCUAUUUUCUUUUUAAGUAUAUUCAAAUACACCCUAAUCUCACUUCUAAUCUCAUCCAUUGCUUGACGGCAUGCUCUCACAUUCCUGAUAAUUUUGACAAGAUGUUCUUUUUGCCAGUAUAUGUUUUCUCACAUUCCUGUUAAUUCACCCAGUAUAGGUUUUCUGACAUAGCAUAAAAAAAAACACAAUUUUGAUCCUUUGCAUAGGUAAAUCUUGAAUAUUUCCAUGUCGGAUCUUUGUUGCUUGAUGUAGCCGGCCUUAAAUAAUUGGGAAAAAGUUAUGAUGAUGAUGAUCUUUAUUGCUUGAUGAAGAAGACAUUGUUUUUAAAAGGAAAGUAAUAGUUGAUAGAACUUACAAAAAAUGAUUAAAAAGGAAAUGAAUAGUUGAUGGAACUUACCAAAAAUGAUGAUCCAAAAUUCAAAACUUUUGAUUCCAAACCCUAAAUCAAAAGAAAUUUCGGUUUCUUGGAUUCAAUCUCCUAGGCCCUAAAUCCUUCGAAUACUUGUUGAAUUUUUACCAUAAACCAUCAAAAUGAACCCUCAAAAAAAUAUCAAUCAAUUGACCAAAGAUUCAAGAACAAAUCCUGACUUCUUUUCAAAAAAAUUUGGAAACACAAAUAUUUUUUUAAUCUAUUUUUCUUUUUUGUUUUUAUUUGAAUCCCCUUUAAACCAUGGAAACAUGGUUCUAAGGGUUUUUAGGGAGAUCAUAUACCCCCCAAACCGUUUGGACCCCAUUUCCCUCCUAGGUGGGGUGACUUUUUGCCCAAGCUCGUGGGCAAAAUUUCCUCCCACAAGACAUGGGCACAUAUGCGAGUAUCACCAAAUGUGUGAUGCGGCCCAUAUGUGAUCGAUGAGCCACAUAUGAGGCCGCAUCACGAAAACCCACCUAUACGGGUGUGAGAGAUACGCCCAUGCCUACACGACACAUUAUGCCUUGUCUCUAAGUAAAACCUUUUGCAACCAACCUUGUGUUGUAUUUUUCAAUAUGCCAUCUGCCUUGUAUUUCAUGGUAAACACCCACUUGCAUCCCACCACCUUCUUUCCCUUUGGAAGUUUAGCGAUCUCCCAAGUGUUAUUGCUAGAACUUGCAUUUUCCCCCACGUCGCAGCAUUCCACUGAGGUUGUGUUAAAGCCUCACACUGGAUGGAAUAUUAACAGUAGAUACAGAUUAUAGGAAAACACAAUAGGAAGGUGACAUGACAUUAUAAGAAACAAAGUUAUGGCAUUUUGUGUACAUGAUCUCUUGCCUUACAUAAUACAAUCAGUAAGUCAAUAUCUGACACAGGGAAUGGAUUAGAAGGUCAAGAAAUACUAGGAUGAGAAGGAUCAUUACCUGAUUCCAUAUCGACACCUGAGUCAUAAUCGUUUUGGACUUCAUGUUGUACCAACUUCUUCCUUCUAAUAUUAGUCUUCAACUCCUUUUCCUUGAUUGCAAUUGGUAUGUUCCCAUUUUCAAUUUUAGGCAUCUCAUAAACUCCAAAAAAUAAAGGGAACUGGAGUUGGAGUAGAUAAAGGUAGUGGAACUAAGAUUUCUCACUUCUUGACAACCGUGCUCUCCUUGAAGAGAGCAUUUCUAUCCAGGAGGAGAGAAAUAUGAAAUAGACUCAAAAAACUUAACAGCUCUAUAGUUGUGUUUGGAUGUUAUUUUCCUCUCUUUCUUCUCAAACUUGACAGAUCUAUAGUUGUGUUUUAUUUCAAAGGUUAUUUACAUAUAGUACUCUUGAGAUCAUCUCUCAAGUGAUCCAUGAUCUGUUGUAACAUUGGAUCAGACGAUAUGUGGAAGGCACUUCUAUUGUCACAGAAGAAUAUAGGUAUAACUCAUAUGCAACGAUCGAUGCACGCUUAAACAAGUAGACAAGUUAGCUUGAAUGUAAUGGCCCAAAAUCAAUGUUGGAUGCGAUUGUGGUUCUCUACUUCAUGAUAAAUUUGUGUAACUAUUUUGAACUUUUGAUGUUAUUACAUUACACAUAAAAAUAAUACCGUGUUGCAUUGCUAACCAUUUUAUUUGAAUGAAAAAGUUAUUAAAAAUAGAAUCAAUUAUUACAUAAACAUAUCACACAUACAUCUUUCAAGUUAUUAAAUAAUAUCAUAAACUAUACACAUAUAAAUACGUCACAAAUAUACAUACAUAUGCACACGCAUGUAUUACAUACAAAUAUAAAUGCAUCAUACGUACAAACAUAAAUGUUCCUUUAGCUAACUGACUUCCUUUAGCUACCUAGAGCUAGAGCUAGAGCUAACUAGCUUUCCUGAAGCUACCUAGCUUUCCUGAAGCUACCUAGAGCUAGAGCUAGAGCUACCUAGCUUUCCUGAAGCUACCUAGAGCUAGAGCUAGAGCUACCUAUCUUUCCUGUAGCUACCAUAGCCUAUCUUCCCUUUAGCUACCUACACUAGCUAAUCGUAGCUACGUAGAGCAUAUAUACUUAUAUAUGUGUAUAUGUUCAUACAUAAACUUAGCUAUGUUGUAGUGCCUUUUACGGAUCAAUGUUCAGAAACAAUAGUGGGUGUGACCAUGGUUCUCUGCUUUGAAGCUUUUGCAUCCUCUUACAUAGUCAUCUAGGGUUCACCCUCUUCCAUUCAACAAAUGCACUGCAUACCUCUUGCACAAUCACUAAGAUCAAAGUAUCAAGCCACCUAACCCAAUUUCAUUGUUGACUAGAACACCUAUUUCUUGCAUUCUUUCUUAAAACUACUUUUACCUAUUUAUUAUCACUUUUUGUUACAGAAAAUAUGAAAUAAUUUAAACCAUAUCUCACAAAAUUAUCUCAUAGUCUCAAAAUGGACUCCUCAAAUUUUCAAAUUGUUAAGGAUAGAAUGACAGUUUUUGCUUGGAAAAGAGUCAGAGAAAUCUUGCAAUGAUUAGAAAAUUUAAAAUAAAAAAAAAAAAGAAUGCUAGCCAUGGCAAGAAAGUUAUGAAGUAUGGCACUAUGGAUGCAUUAUAUAAAUUGGAAAAAAAAAAAAAGAUAUAAUCAAAUCAUAGGGGAAUAACACAACAAACAAUCGUUUAAAAGUAUUGUGUUUCUGGAAGGAAAUAAAUUACUUCCAUUCAUAAUCCAGAUUCCGGUAGCUUUAAACAAACCAUUCUGUUGAAUUAUAAUACUACAAUAAUUGGGAGUACCUAUUAUUGCCAUUGGUAAUCCACAGAUUGGUAGAAGAAAAUUAAAAACUUUUUCAGUUUCCUGACUGCUGGAUUCAUUCCACCUAUAUGUAGUUUUGGGGUCAUGUAAUUCUCUUAGGACUCUCAAUGAUAUUACGGUCAUGUAUCCAGCAAAAUAAAACCAGUUUUUAUUGUAGUUUUCAGCAGUUCUCGAUAGCAGAACUCUAAAGCAUAUAGACUGAUACUCUCCAAAACAUAUAGAGAGAGACAAAGGCUGAUACUUACUUCAGUGCAAACUAAAAAACCAGUUGAGGCACCUUGUUUCAAAUAUCAUUUCCUAUGUACAUCACAAAGACAGUUCUGCAAUCAAAACAAAUGCCUUCUAUUGAGCCACUCAUAUUUUCCACUAUCAAAAUAAUGAUGUAGAUUUGAAACAUCUGCAUUUCACAUUGAAGCAUCAGCUUCAAUUAUAAUAAAGUGUAUAUAGCACUGUGAUGAAAAGAUACUCUGAAUUGUGUGCCACUUCAUGCAGACAAGAGUAGCAGCUCAAAAGUAUUGAACUGGGAACAACGAAUUCAAAUUGCUCUGAGUGCUGCACAAGGUAUGCACGAAAAUUUAGCAUCAAUUGUUUUCCUUCUUUUCUUGAUUUCAAGUACUUAGCAAGUACUUUGGUUUGUAGGAUUGGAGUACCUACAUUAUGGAUGCAAACCACCAAUUGUUCACAGAGAUGUAAAGACAUCCAACAUCCUUUUAAAUGAGAAAUUGGAAGCCAAAUUAGCAGAUUUUGGGUUGUCCAGAUUCGGGCCAACUGAAGGAGAUACUCACAUAUCAACUACUGUUAUGGGCACACCGGGAUAUGUGGAUCCUGAGUAUGUAGUGAACUAAAGGAGGAACUCUCAAUAAUACAACGAUCUCACUGCAUCAAUUGUUUCUUGAUUCUAUUUAUUUGACUUCUAUUUCUAGCUUCCAUGUAUUCCUCCCCCCCUUCUCCACCUUUUUUUUAUCCUUCAAAUUUCAACCCAAGAAGAGGAAUUGUAGCAUGUCCUUUAAUUUUCCUGCCAGUCAACAAGUUUUGGCUUCUCUAUUCUCUCAACCAACCAAAAGGACACAUUCUAUGCCCGUUUUUCACUCAUCAACUUCAUCUGUCCUAAUAAAGAUAUGCCCAGGCUUCUCUAUGGAAGCUCCAUUAAACUCUAGCCACCCUUGCUGCUUUUUAUGAGGGUGAAAAUAUUCAUUUAUCCAAUAUAGAAGGAAAAAAUAACCUGAAACGUUUUAAUCUAUUUCUUUCACCUUCUGUAAUCAAAGAAAACCAUGCUUCAAAGUACACUAUAUUUUCAUUUAUCUCAUCCAUUCCAUCUAGAUGCUAUAGGGUCAUGUGCUUACCUAAAUUUCAAGUAACUCUAUUCAAUUAUAUGAAAAGGGGACAGGGAACAGAAACUACGGACACAUAGAAACCUUAUUUACCAUUUUUUAGAUAAUUUUUAUAAUUGUUUAGAAGACCUGAAGCUUUUUCCCAGAAUAUCUGAAACCAAGGAGAGCUUUUCUUCACCAAUUUUGCUUUCCUACAUGAGCAAUAUAAAGUUUCCAGUGGGUUGUCUGGGUGAUGGUUCGGUUUUCCCUUUCAUUCCCUAUCAUUUCUAUGAUGCAAACAUAAGGCCAAUCAACAACGGCUGACAAAAAAAAUGAUGUAUACGAGAUCAAUAUUUUGCAAGGACUCUUCUGAUAUUACUUGAACUUAAAAUGGUAGAUUUUUAUUGUUCAACAUGCGAAAUACUAGUUAAGCUAACUCCAUUAAAAUUGCAGGUAUUACAUUACCAACAAGCUAAAUGUGAAGAGUGAUGUUUAUAGCUUUGGGAUAGUUCUUUUAGAAAUUAUCUCAGGUCAGCCGGCAAUAAUUGAGGAAGAAGCAAUUCAUAUAGUACAGUGGGUAACUCCCAAGGUUGUAAGAGGGGAAAUUGACAGUGUGAUCGAUCCAAAGUUGCAAGGCGACUAUGACAUUAAUUCUGCAUGGAAAGCUGCAGAGAUAGCACUGGCAUGUACACCACAGUCCGCCAUAAAGAGGGCCACCAUGAGUGAUGUUAUCGGGGAACUGAGGGGAUGCAUCCAGUUGGAGCGUUCCCGUCUCAAAAGGAGAAGCUCAAGAAAGGAAUCCUUCACAUCAAUCAGCUUGGAAUCGGAAAUCCUGUUUGAUCCUUCAGCAAGGUAGUGAGCAUGGCAGUUUCAGGCAUAAGACCACUGUAGUUAUAUGGAGCAUAUGCCAGAGUUCUCACUUAAAUCAAUGAAACUAGGCAAUUUUUUCAUCACUAUUUUUCUCUUGUUGUUGUUCCCAAUUAUGAGAAGGGACAACCAAUAUAUGUAUCUUGGACACCUCAUUUGCAAGGUCAAGGUAGGACUUAUCAUAUAUUUGAUGAGGAAAGACGCAUAUAGUUUGAAAUUUUUGCAAUGAAGUAGAGAGAUAACAAUAUGCUUGUCUUUUGCAUUCCUUUAUUUCUUAUUGCCUUUUUUUUUCUAGGCUACCAAAUAUUUUAUCUACUCAAAACAAUGAGACAACCAGAGGCUCUAACUUGAAUUAGUUAACCAGAAAUCCCAAUCACAACCAAUGACUAAAAAGAGAUGCUCUAUGAGUUCGAACGGCAUGCAAGCCACAAGCCUUUGACCAAAUAACAAUUACUUAGCUCACAUUAUGAUCCAUAUUUUUAAUUAACAUUUCAACAUGCCCUCUAACGAGAUAAACGGAAGACAAUCAUAAGUAGCUCAUUUGUGUACGAAUCAGAAUGCGAACCAUAUGAGAUUGUCUAAAUCAGGAAAUUUUGGAGAAGCAUUAUACUUCAUAACAAUGUGAGUAAACGAAGCAAAAUGUGUGAUGGAAGAUAAAAAAGAAUUGGUUGUUCUUCACAAGAUUGAAUAAUAUUAGUUAUUUAUGAAGAACUUCAAGAAAGGUAAAUAUUUUGAUCUAAGAAAUGGCAAGAGGUAAGCGAUUAGCAGUUUCUCUUCAAUCUUAAAGCAGGUAGGAAUUGCGAUCACUAACCGGAUGAAUGUUUUGAAGAGAGUUGAAGUGGUGGGUCAUGGGUUGAGACAAUCAAGCAUCAUGUGAAUCAAUCAUUGCUUGCACAAGGAUGAGAUGGAGAAGUCUCGAGAGUUUUUGGAACAACUUAGAGUAUAGCAUGUUGAGGUAGACGUAAUAGAAUAGUGUCAUGGCUAAAUAUCAUAUACAAUUUCAACAAGAACCCAGAGCAGAGUCAGGUGGGGCAAAGUUUUGAAACCCAAAGGUAGUUUAAUCUAGGCUCGACGCUUUAAAAGCAUUUUAUGAAGAAGACUUCUAGGUUUCUCAAAUAUUUUUAAAAAACUCAGCUAAGUAGCCAAUCUGAGACACUCAAGUGAGUUUUAAAGUCCAUUGCUAAGUUAUUAAACACGGAUAUAUAUUAGAAAACCUUCAAUACGACUCUCACUCAAGAUGAACGAUGGGAUCCAACAAAAACAUAAAACAUGAAACUUGAAACUUUCAUGCCUCAAAGAUAUAUUGAAACAAAGUUUCCUAGAGGAUGGGAUCUUUUUAUUAGUCGAUCUUCAAAGAAAGGAUUCACAACGUGGAUUAUCUUCAAGAGUUCCACACCAAUACUGACAUUUGUCUUCUUAGGCUUCGGCUUAGUGGUAAGCAUAUCGGGUUGGGUGAAGGAGGUCAAGAAUUGAAAACCUUGAAGUUUGUCUUGAAAAGCCCAAAGGCCCCAAACAAAAAGACUUGCCCUUUUCCCUUGAAGUUUGCCCCAAAAAUCCCAAACAAGCUGACCAAGGCUCUUUUAAGAAGGGCCUUUAGGCUUGGAUGGUCAAGGUGGCAGGGUGCCACAGUCUGACGUCUACAGUUCCAUUCCUACUAUUGUACUAUUGAAAAAAAUUAAUAAGAAUGACAUUGACCAACAUAAGCUAAUUAUGCAAGCAAGAUGCAAUAUUGAUGGACCAUAUAUCCUUGCACUAUAAUCAUUCAAGGGGAUUAUGGGGAAGAAUAUCCGAUCUAUUCUAAAUAGUAAUGCGUCAUCAUCAUCACAACCUUUUCCCAAUUAUUUGGGGUCAGAUGCACGAAUCCUAGUCUAGUAGUCUGCACUAUUAAAGGCCAUACCCUCAGUGAGAAAAGAAGUCCUCAUAUCUUUUCGAACUACUUCCAACCACGUCCUUUUGAGCCUACCCCUUGCCCUUUUUAAUCAUUCAACUUGAACUAACUCGCACCUCCUAACAGGUACCGUAUUGGGUCGGUGCCACACAUGGCCAACCCACCACUUAAGUCUACUCUCUCUCAUCUUAUCGCUGAUUGGUGCCACACCUAAAUUUUCCUGAAAGGAUUCAUUUCAAAUUGUAUCCCUGCUUGUCUUGCCCCUCAUCCAUCUCAACAUCCUGAUCUCCGCUACAAUCAUUUGUAUAAUACUUUUUGCAUGUCCAACAUUUCACCCCAUAGAGCAAAGCUAGUCUCACAAUUGUCCUGUAGAACUUGCUCUUCAGUUUUGUUGGUAUGCGAUGAUCACAUAAAAUUCUAGUUGCACAUCUCCACUUCGCCCACCCAGCUCUAAUUUUGUGUGCGCCAUCUUCCUCAAUCUCUUUAUUUUCCUAGAUUAUUUCAAAAUAAUAAUGGGUAAUGAUUAAUUUUUGAGAGACUGCAUGAUUUGCUUAUUGUUUGGACUUUGGAAUAAAUAAAGACAGGCACAAAGCGACAAACAUAUUCCCUUCUUUGAUAAGAGGUUUGGAAAGAGAAGGCCCCACUUUCUAAAGCAGUAAAUUCAUUUCUGGAUUCUCAGAAAUGUGGAGGUUACAUUUUAGGUAAUAUUUGAUAUGAUUGUGCUUGCUUUGGCCAUUUGUGGGGAAGUAAAAUAAUGAGAAGAGCCCAAAAGGAUGAGGAUUAUUUACCAUUACAAUUAAGUGGACAUAAGAACCAUAUGUUAAACACCAUAUGAAUAAUUCUGAGCUCACUGUUAUUGCGAUUAGAUUUAUAAAUGGAUGUUAUAUUCCUUAAUCAACAGCUGACUACUGAAAAUUUAUUGAACAAAUGCUUAUCACAAGUAACAAUGACUUAUUCCUUUAUUUUCGAUUCUAGUCAUCUUGAUCUAAGACAGUUAACAAGCUCAUUGUUGGAUAUUGACCCAAAACUCAUUGGUAGACAGUCUAGUUAUAAUUAAUGCUGACUUAGGUUAGAGGGAUUUUGAGACUUCAUAAAUCAGGUGCCUUCAUAUUAAUGUUUUUCAUGCCAUUUUAAUUGCUUUAUUUUCAUUAAUGCAACUAUCACUUCUCAUGAAUGGAAAAAGGAUAAAUGAGGGAAAAGUUAAAGUAAAAUGUCACAUUCCAUUCUGCAUAACUGAAUAACACCUCGUCUUCCCAAAUACCAGAUUAAAUAAUCUCUAUACUCCAUAACUAAACCCAGUAAUCAAUUAAAUAAAUCGAGAGUAUAAAAAUAAAUGCAUACAAAAUUUUAAAGGGAGGGAAACUAUCACUGAGCAAGAAUUUGAACAGAAUCCAUAAAACUAUAAACCUGAAAAUUACCAAAUCAAAUCAAUAGAAGUAGAACUAAAGCUCCUUAAACUGAUAAUAACAGAGUGAACAAAGAAAGGCGAAUAAAUGGAAACCAAAAAGAGAGAAGAAACCUACUUAUGGAAGAAAACUCCAUACCAAAUUCAACUUUCAUCGAGUUUCUGAUGAAAUUCUCAAUUCUUCGGCAUCGUCCAUCAAAACUCACACAAAAUUCACGGACAUUUACAUGAAACCCGGCUUUUGCCUACUGAAUUUCCUCCCAAACGCGACCAGUUUGGGCCAUAGUUGGUUAAUUCUGCCAAUUAAAAAAUAAUAAUAAUAAUUGGGUGAAUUUCAGUCGGGGGCAUCUUGCUGUUCAAAUUUAAAACUUUAAGGUGGGAAGAGUAGAUAAAAACGGAUCGGAUUGCUUGGUGUGUGAGAGAAAAAAAUUUUGAACUUGAGCUUGGUCAAUGAAAUCAAUGCAGCUAAAUUUCAUUGAAUGCAGUUAAAAGGGAGAUCUUUUAAGAGGAAAAACUAAAAUAUA
rnacentral:lncRNA from 1 species